GAGCGCGCGGCGCCUGCGGCGGCGAACGGACGGACGGACCGCGGACGGACGUACUGACCCCAACCCGCGAGCCCCGGGAGCCGUCGGUCUGAGGAGGGGCCGCUUCGCCAUGUCGCCCCGCACCUGCUGAGCCCGGAGCGUCCGAGGAUGUCCGCGCUGAGGAAGGUUUUGCCUGGCAUUCUGCAGAAGCAUUGCUGUAUCUUACCAGACAGGAAUACAGGUAAAUACAUUUCAUUCUUCUGAUUUGGGAUUAUAUGUUUCGUAUCAGUGGCAAAAGUGAGAAAUGUGAUUACCUAAUUUAGAUAUUUUGUGCAUUUUUAUUUUGUGGGUUGUUUUUAGUGCAAGAUUGCGUAUUAACUAACUGUAAGACCUGAAAGUAGGAUAUUUAGUUCUGUGGUGAUUUAUGAGCUGAGCCCAGAGAUCUGUUUUUAUUUGACAGAGGAAAUAGUUUUAUUAAUAGAUGAUUGUUGUCCUGGGUUUUUAAGGGAAACUGGUUGUCUUAUAAACUUGAGUUUGUUGGUUUCAAAGUUGUUUAUUUUGCUAAUUAUACUUAUUUACUAAAGAAAAUCACCAUUCUUAUUGGCUAGAGAGAAAUGUGUUUGGAAUCUGUUUGCAGUCAAGGCCUUUCUUUGUGAUCAGGGUGGGAAUCGGCUAGAUGUUAUGUUCUGGAAACCCCCAAGGUCUCAGUGAAUAAAACACUGGCAUGAAUGUUUUGAAGUGGGAGAUGCAUCUCUGUGUAAUUUCUCAUGGCAGGAUGGGCGUGUGUGGCUGGUGGUUGUGAGGAAGUGUUUUGCCUGACCUUUAAGGAAACAUGACGGAGAAAAAGAAGGUCUAAAAAAAACUUCGUUAUCAUUACAAUUAAGGGGAAAAAAGAAUCAGUCAGGGCUUGUUAUCCUGUGGAUAUGGAUCUGCAUUUUUGUUUUCCUCCUGCAAGAUUUCUGAUUUAUUUUUAUCAAAGAAAUUGCAAGUCCUGAGGAAAGUAUGGAGAAGAUGCCUCUUUCGUGUGAGGGGCU
rnacentral:lncRNA from 1 species